UUCACCUCGGUAGUGUUUAACACCCAGCUGUCAAAACAAACAACACAUGAAACAAAUGCUCAGCAAUGGAAACCUUGCCAGUUGAAACCCUGACAAGCACAGUUCGCCACAGGUUCCUUGCACAGUGUUCCUAGUCAUUCCAUAAUCAUGGAUUAAAUCGCAUCGCCCUGCUGUAAGAAACUCCAGCUGAAGCCAAAGGAGUGAAAUCAACAAAUUGCUGUCACAGGAGGAAAUGUCUACAGCUCCACCAGCAAACUGUUCAAGUUAACAAUCGAUAUGUAAAAAAGCAGCCGCUUUUGACAUCUAGAGUUAGG